GAUUAAGUUAUUAAGGGCGCACGGUGGAUGCCUUGGCACUAGAAGCCGAUGAAGGACGUUACUAACGACGAUAUGCUUUGGGUAGCUGUAAGUAAGCGUUGAUCCAGAGAUUUCCGAAUGGGGAAACCCAGCACAAGUUAUGUUGUGUUAUCGACAAGUGAAUUCAUAGCUUGUCAGAAGGCAGACCCGGAGAACUGAAACAUCUUAGUACCCGGAGGAAGAGAAAGAAAAUUCGAUUCCCUGAGUAGCGGCGAGCGAAACGGGAAGAGCCCAAACCAAUAAGCUUGCUUAUUGGGGUUGUAGGACACUCUAUACGGAGUUACAAAGGAAUAUAUUAAACGAAUCAUCUGGAAAGUUGAAUCAAAGAAGGUAAUAAUCCUGUAGUUGAAAAUAUAUUCUCUCUUGAGUGGAUCCUGAGUACGACGGAGCACGUGAAAUUCCGUCGGAAUCUGGGAGGACCAUCUCCUAAGGCUAAAUACUCUCUAGUGACCGAUAGUGAACCAGUACCGUGAGGGAAAGGUGAAAAGUACCCCGGAAGGGGAGUGAAAGAGAACUUGAAACCGUGUGCUUACAAGUAGUCAGAGCCCGUUAAUGGGUGAUGGCGUGCCUUUUGUAGAAUGAACCGGCGAGUUACGAUCUGAUGCAAGGUUAAGCAGAAAAUGUGGAGCCGUAGCGAAAGCGAGUCUGAAUAGGGCGUGUAGUAUUUGGUCGUAGACCCGAAACCAGGUGAUCUACCCAUGGUCAGGUUGAAGUUCAGGUAACACUGAAUGGAGGACCGAACCGACUUACGUUGAAAAGUGAGCGGAUGAACUGUGGGUAGCGGAGAAAUUCCAAUCGAACUUGGAGAUAGCUGGUUCUCUCCGAAAUAGCUUUAGGGCUAGCCUCAAGUGAUGAUUAUUGGAGGUAGAGCACUGUUUGGACGAGGGGCCCCUCUCGGGUUACCGAAUUCAGACAAACUCCGAAUGCCAAUUAAUUUAACUUGGGAGUCAGAACAUGGGUGAUAAGGUCCGUGUUCGAAAGGGAAACAGCCCAGACCACCAGCUAAGGUCCCAAAAUAUAUGUUAAGUGGAAAAGGAUGUGGCGUUGCCCAGACAACUAGGAUGUUGGCUUAGAAGCAGCCAUCAUUUAAAGAGUGCGUAAUAGCUCACUAGUCGAGUGACACUGCGCCGAAAAUGUACCGGGGCUAAACAUAUUACCGAAGCUGUGGAUUGUCCUUUGGACAAUGGUAGGAGAGCGUUCUAAGGGCGUUGAAGCAUGAUCGCAAGGACAUGUGGAGCGCUUAGAAGUGAGAAUGCCGGUGUGAGUAGCGAAAGACGGGUGAGAAUCCCGUCCACCGAUUGACUAAGGUUUCCAGAGGAAGGCUCGUCCGCUCUGGGUUAGUCGGGUCCUAAGCUGAGGCCGACAGGCGUAGGCGAUGGAUAACAGGUUGAUAUUCCUGUACCACCUAUAAUCGUUUUAAUCGAUGGGGGGACGCAGUAGGAUAGGCGAAGCGUACGAUUGGAUUGUACGUCUAAGCAGUGAGAUUGAGUGUUAGGCAAAUCCGGCACUCUUAAGAUUGAGCUGUGAUGGGGAGAGGAAAUUGUUUC
rnacentral:rRNA from 1 species